rnacentral:rRNA from 1 species
CAUCACUUGAUAUUGAAAACUCCGGUGGAUAGAGAUGGGCACGCGCAAGAUUAGAUAGUUGGUGAGGUAACGGCUCACCAAGUCUACGAUCUUUAGGGGGCCUGAGAGGGUGAUCCCCCACACUGGUACUGAGACACGGACCAGACUCCUACGGGAGGCAGCAGUGAGGAAUAUUGGACAAUGGGUGAGAGCCUGAUCCAGCCAUCCCGCGUGAAGGACGACGGCCCUAUGGGUUGUAAACUUCUUUUGUAUAGGGAUAAACCUAGAUACGUGUAUCUAGCUGAAGGUACUAUACGAAUAAGCACCGGCUAACUCCGUGCCAGCAGCCGCGGUAAUACGGAGGGUGCAAGCGUUAUCCGGAUUUAUUGGGUUUAAAGGGUCCGUAGGCGGAUUUGUAAGUCAGUGGUGAAAUCUCACAGCUUAACUGUGAAACUGCCAUUGAUACUGCAAGUCUUGAGUGUUGUUGAAGUAGCUGGAAUAAGUAGUGUAGCGGUGAAAUGCAUAGAUAUUACUUAGAACACCAAUUGCGAAGGCAGGUUACUAAGCAACAACUGACGCUGAUGGACGAAAGCGUGGGGAGCGAACAGGAUUAGAUACCCUGGUAGUCCACGCCGUAAACGAUGCUAACUCGUUUUUGGGCUUUUGGGUUCAGAGACUAAGCGAAAGUGAUAAGUUAGCCACCUGGGGAGUACGAACGCAAGUUUGAAACUCAAAGGAAUUGACGGGGGCCCGCACAAGCGGUGGAUUAUGUGGUUUAAUUCGAUGAUACGCGAGGAACCUUACCAAGGCUUAAAUGGGAAAUGACAGGUUUAGAAAUAGACUUUUCUUCGGACAUUUUUCAAGGUGCUGCAUGGUUGUCGUCAGCUCGUGCCGUGAGGUGUUAGGUUAAGUCCUGCAACGAGCGCAACCCCUGUCACUAGUUGCCAUCAUUAAGUUGGGGACUCUAGUGAGACUGCCUACGCAAGUAGAGAGGAAGGUGGGGAUGACGUCAAAUCAUCACGGCCCUUACGCCUUGGGCCACACACGUAAUACAAUGGCCGGUACAGAGGGCAGCUACACAGCGAUGUGAUGCAAAUCUCGAAAGCCGGUCUCAGUUCGGAUUGGAGUCUGCAACUCGACUCUAUGAAGCUGGAAUCGCUAGUAAUCGCGCAUCAGCCAUGGCGCGGUGAAUACGUUCCCGGGCCUUGUACACACCGCCCGUCAAGCCAUGGAAGUCUGGGGUACCUGAAGUCGGUGACCGUAACAGGAGCUGCCUAGGGUAAAACAGGUAACUAGGGCUAAGUCGUAACAAGGUAGCCGUACCGGAAGGUGCGGCUGGAACAUCUCAUUUU